ACAGGGAUUUCUAUGAAAAUAAGCGAUAUUUUAGGGUUAAAAACAGGGAUUUCGAUGAAAAUAAGCGAUAUUUUAGGGUUAAAUCAGGGAUUUCUAUGAAAAUAAGCAAUAUUUUAGGUUAAAAACAGGGAUUUCGAUGAAAAUAAGCGAUAUUUAAGGGUUACAAACAGGGAUUUCGAUGAAAAUAAGCGAUAUUUUGGGGUUAAAAACAGGGAUUUCUAUGAAAAUAAGCGAUAUUUUAGGGUUAAAAACAGGGAUUUCGAUGAAAAUAAGCGAUAUUUAAGGGUUACAAACAGGGAUUUCUACGAAAAUACGCGAUAUUCAAGGGGAAAAACAGGGAUUUCGAUGAAAAUAAGCGAUAUUUUAGGGUUAAAAACAGGGAUUUCCAUGAAAAUAAGCGAUAUUUUAGGGUUAAAAACAGGGAUUUCUAUGAAAAUAAGCGAUAUUCAAGGGUUAAAAACAGGGAUUUCGAUGAAAAUAAGCGAUAUUUAAGGGUUACAAACAGGGAUUUCUACGAAAAUACGCGAUAUUAAAGGGGAAAAACAGGGAUUUCGAUGAAAAUAAGCAAUAUUUUUGGUUAAAAACAGGGAUUUUGAUGAAAAUAAGCGAUAUUUUUGGGUUAAAAACAGGGAUUUCUAUGAAAAUAAGCGAUAUUUUAGGGUUAAAAACAGGGAUUUCUAUGACAAUAAGCGAUAUUUUUGGGGAAAAACAGGGAUUUCCAUGAAAAUAAGCGAUAUUUUUGGGGAAAAACAGGGAUUUCCAUGAAAAUAAGCGAUAUUUUUGGGUUAAAAACAGGGAUUUCUAUGAAAAUAAGCGAUAUUUAAGGGGAAAAACAGGGAUUUUGAUGAAAAUAAGCGAUAUUUUUGUGUUAAAAACAGGGAUUUCUAUGAAAAUAAGCGAUAUUUUAGGGUUAAAAACAGGGAUUUCUAUGAAAAUAAGCGAUAUUUUAGGGGAAAAACAGGGAUUUCUAUGAAAAUAAGCGAUAUUUUUGGGUUAAAAACAGGGAUUUUGAUGAAAAUAAGCGAUAUUUUAGGGGAAAAACAGGGAUUUCUAUGAAAAUAAGCGAUAUUUUAGGUUAAAAACAGGGAUUUUGAUGAAAAUACGUGAAAUUUUAGGGGAAAAACAGGGAUUUCUAUGAAAAUAAGCGAUAUUUUAGGUUAAAAACAGGGAUUUUGAUGGAAAUAAGCGAUAUUUUUGGGUUAAAAACAGGGAUUUCUAUGAAAAUAAGCGAUAUUUUUGGGUUAAAAACAGGGAUUUUUAUGAAAAAAAGCGAUAUUUUUGGGUUAAAAACAGGGAUUUCUAUGAAAAUAAGCGAUAUUUUAGGGUUAAAAACAGGGAUUUCUAUGAAAAUAAGCGAUAUUUUAGGGUUAAAAACAGGGAUUUCUAUGAAAAUAAGCGAUAUUUUAGGGUUAAAAACAGGGAUUUGUAUGAAAAUAAGCGAUAUUUUUGGGUUAAAAACAGGGAUUUUGAUGAAAAUAAGCGAUAUUUUAGGGUUAAAAACAGGGAUUUCUAUGAAAAUAAGCGAUAUUUUAGGGUUAAAAACAGGGAUUUCUAUGAAAAUAAGCGAUAUUUUUGGGUUAAAAAGAGGGAUUUCCAUGAAAAUAAGCGAUAUUUUUGGGUUAAAAACAGGGAUUUCUAUGAAAAUAAGCGAUAUAUUAGGGUUGAAAGCAGGGAUUUCGACGAAAAUAAGGGAUGUUUAAGGGGAAAAAAUGGGAUUUCUAUGAAAAUAAGCGAUAUUUAAGGGUUAAAAAACGGGAUUUCGAUGAAAAUAAGCGAUAUUUUAGGGUUAAAAACAGGGAUUUCUAUGAAAAUAAGCGAUAUUUUAGGGUUAAAAACAGGGAUUUGUAUGAAAAUAAGCGAUAUUUUAGGUUAAAAACAGGGAUUUUGAUGAAAAUAAGCGAUAUUUUAGGGUUAAAAACAGGGAUUUCUAUGAAAAUAAGCGAUAUUUUAGGGGAAAAACAGGGAUUUCUAUGAAAAUAAGCGAUAUUUUUGGGUUAAAAACAGGGAUUUCUAUGAAAAUAAGCGAUAUUUUUGGGUUAAAAACAGGGAUUUCCAUGAAAAUAAGCGAUAUUUUUGGGUUAAAAACAGGGAUUUCUAUGAAAAUAAGCGAUAUAUUAGGGUUGAAAGCAGGGAUUUCGACGAAAAUAAGGGAUGUUUAAGGGGAAAAAAUGGGAUUUCUAUGAAAAUAAGCGAUAUUUAAGGGUUAAAAAACGGGAUUUCGAUGAAAAUAAGCGAUAUUUUAGGGUUAAAAACAGGGAUUUCUAUGAAAAUAAGCGAUAUAUUAGGGUUGAAAGCAGGGAUUUCAAUGAAAAUAAGCGAUAUUUAAGGUGAAAAACACGGCUUUCCGAGAAAAAUAACAGCCUGCGCAGUAGGGUGCCUGCGCAGCGCAUGCGCAGUAGGGUGCCUGCGCAGCGCAUGCGCAGUAGGGUGCCUGCGCAGCGCAUGCGCAGUAGGGUGCCUGCGCAGCGCAUGCGCAGUAGGGUGCCUGCGCAGCGCAUGCGCAGUAGGGUGCCUGCGCAGCGCAUGCGCAGUAGGGUGCCUGCGCAGCGCAUGCGCAGUAGGGUGCCUGCGCAGCGCAUGCGCAGUAGGGUGCCUGCGCAGCGCAUGCGCAGUAGGGUGCCUGCGCAGCGCAUGCGCAGUAGGGUGCCUGCGCAGCGCAUGCGCAGUAGGGUGCCUGCGCAGCGCAUGCGCAGUAGGGUGCCUGCGCAGCGCAUGCGCAGUAGGGUGCCAGUCUACCGCACGCGCAGAACGGUGUCUGCCUGGCGCAUUGCUAGAACAAAGCAAUGUUUAAGGGGAAAGACAGGGAUUUCCAUGAAAAUAAGCGAUAUUUUAGGGUUAAAAACAGGGAUUUCUAUGAAAAUAAGCGAUAUUUUAGGUUAAAAACAGGGAUUUUGAUGGAAAUAAGCGAUAUUUUUGGGUUAAAAACAGGGAUUUCCAUGAAAAUAAGCGAUAUUUUUGGGUUAAAAACAGGGAUUUCUAUGAAAAUAAGCGAUAUAUUAGGGUUGAAAGCAGGGAUUUCGACGAAAAUAAGGGAUGUUUAAGGGGAAAAAAUGGGAUUUCUAUGAAAAUAAGCGAUAUUUAAGGGUUAAAAAACGGGGAUUUUGAUGAAAAUAAGCGAUAUUUUUGUGUUAAAAACAGGGAUUUCUAUGAAAAUAAGCGAUAUUUUAGGGUUAAAAACAGGGAUUUCUAUGAAAAUAAGCGAUAUUUUAGGGGAAAAACAGGGAUUUCUAUGAAAAUAAGCGAUAUUUUAGGGGAAAAACAGGGAUUUCUAUGAAAAUAAGCGAUAUUUUAGGUUAAAAACAGGGAUUUUGAUGGAAAUAAGCGAUAUUUUAGGGUUAAAAACAGGGAUUUCUAUGAAAAUAAGCGAUAUUUUAGGGUUAAAAACAGGGAUUUCGAUGAAAAAAAGCGAUAUUUUAGGGUUAAAAACAGGGAUUUCUAUGAAAAUAAGCGAUAUUUUAGGUUAAAAACAGGGAUUUUGAUGAAAAUAAGCGAUAUUUUAGGGUUAAAAACAGGGAUUUCUAUGAAAAUAAGCGAUAUUUUAGGGGAAAAACAGGGAUUUCUAUGAAAAUAAGCGAUAUUUUAGGGUUAAAAACAGGGAUUUCUAUGAAAAUAAGCGAUAUUUUUGGGUUAAAAAGAGGGAUUUCCAUGAAAAUAAGCGAUAUUUUUGGGUUAAAAACAGGGAUUUCUAUGAAAAUAAGCGAUAUAUUAGGGUUGAAAGCAGGGAUUUCGACGAAAAUAAGGGAUGUUUAAGGGGAAAAAAUGGGAUUUCUAUGAAAAUAAGCGAUAUUUAAGGGUUAAAAAACGGGAUUUCGAUGAAAAUAAGCGAUAUUUUAGGGUUAAAAACAGGGAUUUCUAUGAAAAUAAGCGAUAUAUUAGGGUUGAAAGCAGGGAUUUCAAUGAAAAUAAGCGAUAUUUAAGGUGAAAAACACGGCUUUCCGAGAAAAAUAACAGCCUGCGCAGUAGGGUGCCUGCGCAGCGCAUGCGCAGUAGGGUGCCUGCGCAGCGCAUGCGCAGUAGGGUGCCUGCGCAGCGCAUGCGCAGUAGGGUGCCUGCGCAGCGCAUGCGCAGUAGGGUGCCUGCGCAGCGCAUGCGCAGUAGGGUGCCUGCGCAGCGCAUGCGCAGUAGGGUGCCUGCGCAGCGCAUGCGCAGUAGGGUGCCUGCGCAGCGCAUGCGCAGUAGGGUGCCUGCGCAGCGCAUGCGCAGUAGGGUGCCUGCGCAGCGCAUGCGCAGUAGGGUGCCUGCGCAGCGCAUGCGCAGUAGGGUGCCAGUCUACCGCACGCGCAGAACGGUGUCUGCCUGGCGCAUUGCUAGAACAAAGCAAUGUUUAAGGGGAAAGACAGGGAUUUCUAUGAAAAUAAGCGAUAUUUUAGGGUUAAAAACAGGGAUUUCCAUGAAAAUAAGCGAUAUUUUAGGGUUAAAAACAGGGAUUUCUAUGAAAAUGAGCGAUAUUUUAGGGUUAAAAACAGGGAUUUCCAUGAAAAUAAGCGAUAUUUUUGGGUUAAAAACAGGGAUUUCUAUGAAAAUAAGCGAUAUUUUAGGGGAAAAACAGGGAUUUCUAUGAAAAUAAGCGAUAUUUUAGGGUUAAAAACAGGGAUUUCUAUGACAAUAAGCGAUAUUUUUGGGGAAAAACAGGGAUUUCCAUGAAAAUAAGCGAUAUUUUUGGGGAAAAACAGGGAUUUCCAUGAAAAUAAGCGAUAUUUUUGGGUUAAAAACAGGGAUUUCUAUGAAAAUAAGCGAUAUUUUAGGGUUAAAAACAGGGAUUUCCAUGAAAAUAAGCGAUAUUUUUGGGUUAAAAACAGGGAUUUCUAUGAAAAUAAGCGAUAUUUUAGGGGAAAAACAGGGAUUUCUAUGAAAAUAAGCGAUAUUUUAGGGUUAAAAACAGGGAUUUCUAUGAAAAUAAGCGAUAUUUUAGGUUAAAAACAGGGAUUUUGAUGAAAAUAAGCGAUAUUUUUGGGUUAAAAACAGGGAUUUCUAUGAAAAUAAGCGAUAUUUUAGGUUAAAAACAGGGAUUUCUAUGAAAAUAAGCGAUAUUUUUGGGUUAAAAACAGGGAUUUUGAUGAAAAUAAGCGAUAUUUUAGGGGAAAAACAGGGAUUUCUAUGAAAAUAAGCGAUAUUUUAGGUUAAAAACAGGGAUUUUGAUGAAAAUACGUGAAAUUUUAGGGGAAAAACAGGGAUUUCUAUGAAAAUAAGCGAUAUUUUAGGUUAAAAACAGGGAUUUUGAUGGAAAUAAGCGAUAUUUUUGGGUUAAAAACAGGGAUUUCUAUGAAAAUAAGCGAUAUUUUAGGGUUAAAAACAGGGAUUUUUAUGAAAAAAAGCGAUAUUUUGGGGUUAAAAACAGGGAUUUCCAUGAAAAUAAGCGAUAUUUUUGGGUUAAAAACAGGGAUUUCUAUGAAAAUAAGCGAUAUUUUAGGGGAAAAACAGGGAUUUCUAUGAAAAUAAGCGAUAUUUUAGGGUUAAAAACAGGGAUUUCUAUGAAAAUAAGCGAUAUUUUAGGUUAAAAACAGGGAUUUUGAUGAAAAUAAGCGAUAUUUUUGGGUUAAAAACAGGGAUUUCUAUGAAAAUAAGCGAUAUUUUAGGGUUAAAAACAGGGAUUUCUAUGACAAUAAGCGAUAUUUUUGGGGAAAAACAGGGAUUUCCAUGAAAAUAAGCGAUAUUUUUGGGGAAAAACAGGGAUUUCCAUGAAAAUAAGCGAUAUUUUUGGGUUAAAAACAGGGAUUUCUAUGAAAAUAAGCGAUAUUUAAGGGGAAAAACAGGGAUUUUGAUGAAAAUAAGCGAUAUUUUUGUGUUAAAAACAGGGAUUUCUAUGAAAAUAAGCGAUAUUUUAGGGUUAAAAACAGGGAUUUUUAUGAAAAUAAGCGAUAUUUUAGGUUAAAAACAGGGAUUUCUAUGAAAAUAAGCGAUAUUUUUGGGUUAAAAACAGGGAUUUUGAUGAAAAUAAGCGAUAUUUUAGGGGAAAAACAGGGAUUUCUAUGAAAAUAAGCGAUAUUUUAGGUUAAAAACAGGGAUUUUGAUGAAAAUACGUGAAAUUUUAGGGGAAAAACAGGGAUUUCUAUGAAAAUAAGCGAUAUUUUAGGUUAAAAACAGGGAUUUUGAUGAAAAUACGUGAAAUUUUAGGGGAAAAACAGGGAUUUCUAUGAAAAUAAGCGAUAUUUUAGGUUAAAAACAGGGAUUUUGAUGAAAAUACGUGAAAUUUUAGGGGAAAAACAGGGAUUUCUAUGAAAAUAAGCGAUAUUUUAGGUUAAAAACAGGGAUUUUGAUGGAAAUAAGCGAUAUUUUUGGGUUAAAAACAGGGAUUUCUAUGAAAAUAAGCGAUAUUUUAGGGUUAAAAACAGGGAUUUUUAUGAAAAAAAGCGAUAUUUUUGGGUUAAAAACAGGGAUUUCUAUGAAAAUAAGCGAUAUUUUAGGGUUAAAAACAGGGAUUUCUAUGAAAAAAAAGCGAUAUUUUAGGGUUAAAAACAGGGAUUUCUAUGAAAAUAAGCGAUAUUUUAGGGUUAAAAACAGGGAUUUGUAUGAAAAUAAGCGAUAUUUUUGGGUUGAAAGCAGGGAUUUCGACGAAAAUAAGGGAUGUUUAAGGGGAAAAAAUGGGAUUUCUAUGAAAAUAAGCGAUAUUUUUGGGUUAAAAAACGGGAUUUCGAUGAAAAUAAGCGAUAUUUUAGGGUUAAAAACAGGGAUUUCUAUGAAAAUAAGCGAUAUUUUAGGGUUAAAAACAGGGAUUUCUAUGAAAAUAAGCGAUAUUUUAGGGUUAAAAACAGGGAUUUGUAUGAAAAUAAGCGAUAUUUUUGGGUUAAAAACAGGGAUUUUGAUGAA